UACGAAGGGUGCAAGCGUUACUCGGAAUUACUGGGCGUAAAGCGUGCGUAGGUGGUGGGUUAAGUCUGUCGUGAAAGCCCCGGGCUCAACCUGGGAAUGGCAAUGGAGACUGCAAGGCUAGAGUUUGGCAGAGGGGGGUAGAAUUCCACGUGUAGCAGUGAAAUGCGUAGAUAUGAUGGAGGAACACCGAUGGCGAAGGCAGCCCCCUGGGUCAAAACUGACGCUCAUGCACGAAAGCGUGGGGAGCAAACAGG
rnacentral:rRNA from 1 species